rnacentral:rRNA from 1 species
AUUGAACGCUGGCGGCAUGCCUUACACAUGCAAGUCGAACGGCAGCAUGAUCUAGCUUGCUAGAUUGAUGGCGAGUGGCGAACGGGUGAGUAAUACAUCGGAACGUGCCCUGUAGUGGGGGAUAACUAGUCGAAAGAUUAGCUAAUACCGCAUACGACCUGAGGGUGAAAGUGGGGGACCGCAAGGCCUCAUGCUAUAGGAGCGGCCGAUGUCUGAUUAGCUAGUUGGUGGGGUAAAGGCCCACCAAGGCGACGAUCAGUAGCUGGUCUGAGAGGACGAUCAGCCACACUGGGACUGAGACACGGCCCAGACUCCUACGGGAGGCAGCAGUGGGGAAUUUUGGACAAUGGGCGAAAGCCUGAUCCAGCAAUGCCGCGUGUGUGAAGAAGGCCUUCGGGUUGUAAAGCACUUUUGUCCGGAAAGAAAUGGCUCUGGUUAAUACCUGGGGUCGAUGACGGUACCGGAAGAAUAAGGACCGGCUAACUACGUGCCAGCAGCCGCGGUAAUACGUAGGGUCCAAGCGUUAAUCGGAAUUACUGGGCGUAAAGCGUGCGCAGGCGGUUGUGCAAGACCGAUGUGAAAUCCCCGAGCUUAACUUGGGAAUUGCAUUGGUGACUGCACGGCUAGAGUGUGUCAGAGGGGGGUAGAAUUCCACGUGUAGCAGUGAAAUGCGUAGAGAUGUGGAGGAAUACCGAUGGGCGAAGGCAGCCCCCUGGGAUAACACUGACGCUCAUGCACGAAAGCGUGGGGAGCAAACAGGGAUUAGAUACCCUGGUAGUCCACGCCCUAAACGAUGUCAACUAGUUGUUGGGGAUCAUUUCCUUAGUAACGUAGCUAACGCGUGAAGUUGACCGCCUGGGGAGUACGGUCGCAAGAUUAAAACUCAAAGGAAUUGACGGGGACCCGCACAAGCGGUGGAUGAUGUGGAUUAAUUCGAUGCAACGCGAAAAACCUUACCUACCCUUGACAUGCCACUAACGAAGCAGAGAUGCAUUAGGUGCUCGAAAGAGAAAGUGGACACAGGUGCUGCAUGGCUGUCGUCAGCUCGUGUCGUGAGAUGUUGGGUUAAGUCCCGCAACGAGCGCAACCCUUGUCUCUAGUUGCUACGAAAGGGCACUCUAGAGAGACUGCCGGUGACAAACCGGAGGAAGGUGGGGAUGACGUCAAGUCCUCAUGGCCCUUAUGGGUAGGGCUUCACACGUCAUACAAUGGUGCAUACAGAGGGUUGCCAAGCCGCGAGGUGGAGCUAAUCCCAGAAAAUGCAUCGUAGUCCGGAUCGUAGUCUGCAACUCGACUACGUGAAGCUGGAAUCGCUAGUAAUCGCGGAUCAGCAUGCCGCGGUGAAUAAAAGCCCGGGUCU